rnacentral:misc_RNA from 1 species
GAUGAAGAACGCAGCGAAAUGCGAUACGUAAUGUGAAUUGCAGAAUUCAGUGAAUCAUCGAAUCUUUGAACGCACAUUGCGCCCGCCAGUAUUCUGGCGGGCAUGCCUGUUCGAGCGUCAUUUCAACCAUCAAGCCCCCGGGCUUGUGUUGGGGACCUGCGGCUGCCGCAGGCCCUGAAAAGCAGUGGCGGGCUCGCUGUCACACCGAGCGUAGUAGAUUUUAUCUCGCUCAGGGCGUGCUGCGGGUUCCGGCCGUUAAACCACCUUCAUAACCCAAGGUUGACCUCGGAUCAGGUAGGAAGACCCGCUGAACUUAAGCAUAUCAAUAAGCGGAGGA